AUCGGAAUCUACUCUGUCGUGGGGGAUAACGUAGGGAAACUUACGCUAAUACCGCAUACGACCUACGGGUGAAAGCAGGGGAUCUUCGGACCUUGCGCGAUUGAAUGAGCCGAUGUCGGAUUAGCUAGUUGGCGGGGUAAAGGCCCACCAAGGCGACGAUCCGUAGCUGGUCUGAGAGGAUGAUCAGCCACACUGGAACUGAGACACGGUCCAGACUCCUACGGGAGGCAGCAGUGGGGAAUAUUGGACAAUGGGCGCAAGCCUGAUCCAGCCAUACCGCGUGGGUGAAGAAGGCCUUCGGGUUGUAAAGCCCUUUUGUUGGGAAAGAAAUCCAGCCGGCUAAUACCUGGUUGGGAUGACGGUACCCAAAGAAUAAGCACCGGCUAACUUCGUGCCAGCAGCCGCGGUAAUACGAAGGGUGCAAGCGUUACUCGGAAUUACUGGGCGUAAAGCGUGCGUAGGUGGUUAUUUAAGUCCGUUGUGAAAGCCCUGGGCUCAACCUGGGAACUGCAGUGGAUACUGGAUGACUAGAAUGUGGUAGAGGGUAGCGGAAUU
rnacentral:rRNA from 1 species